AAGGAUUUUGGUGACCGAUCUUUAGUGGGUUUUUGACACCACGUGUCAGCCAAACAAGAUAUAUCAUUUUUUUCUUUUUUCUCUCGUGCUCUCCGUCGUCUUCUCUCGUCUUCUCCGCCGUCUCUUCAUGUCGUCGUCUCUUCUGGCAAGCAGGUAUCUUCUCACAAGCAGGUCUAUUCUCGCAAGCAGUUUCAGUGCAGUUUGAAGUCGUAUUUGUUGAUUGAUUAUGGAGAAUCAGCCUGACAUCAACGUGAGGAUGAGAGGCAUAUCCUUGUUGAUUGGUUGAUUGAGGUGCAUUACAAGUUUGAGCUCAUGGAAGAGACGCUUUACCUCACAAUCAACCUCAUCGACAUGUUUCUUGCGGUUACUCAACAUGUCCCAAGGAAAAAGCUUCAACUUGUUGGUGUAACAGCUUUGUUGCUCGCUUGAAAAUACGAAGAAGUCUCAGUCCCUGUUGUUGAUGAUCUCAUCGUGAUCUCUGACAAGGCUUACACGAGAAGAGAAGUUCUUGACAUGGAGAAGUUAAUGGUGAAUACAUUGCAAUUCAACUUCUGUCUGCCAACUCCAUAUGUGUUCAUGAGGAGGUUUCUCAAAGCUGCAUAAUAUGGCAAGAAGGUUUGUAUAAUAACUUCUUUGACCAUAUCUUCUUACUUGGUAGGUAUAUAGAGAAGAAUCAAAUGUAGGUUUUUGUCAGUUGUGUGUGUUUUAGGUGAGCUUUUAUCUUUCUUCAUCAUUGAGAUUUGUUUAGUUGAGUAUGAGAUGCUUUAGUACGUUCCUUCUGAGUCCCUGGUGUUUUCCAAACCCGGUUCCAGACUGUUCCAUUGGACUUAGAUACUGAAUCCUUCUACCUAACCAGGAAAGAAACAAUAGAGUCACAGCUAGAGAAAGUUGCAAACAUAAUGGCUGAAGAAAUGCUCAUCAUAUCAUAAACACACCGUGGAUCAUCAUGUAGAGCAGUGGCAUGGGAGCGGUUUUCGUUAGAGGAACUGAGAGCAACAGUGGCUUGUGUUGAAGGUAAGUGUGUAGCAUUGAUUAAGAACCCUCAAUUAAGAAACUUCCAUUGGACCAUCCAAAGUGGGAGUUUCUUAACAAAAUUUUUUUAAAGUUAAAUUUAUUAUUAAAAAUCAUUAAGAACCCCACUAAGAGUUUUAGGGAUAAUCAUGCUCUUAUUCCACUGAAACUUUUCUUGUAUAGUUGGAUUUUUGUUUUCCUUUGAUUCAAUAUUUUUCCAAGUUUGCAGAGUGUGUGAGUAUGAGAGACUAGUUUGCAUGAAAAUUUACAAUCAAAUAUCAUUGUUCUGCUACUUCUAAUUUUUGCUGUUGUGGAUCAAGAC